rnacentral:lncRNA from 13 species
UUUCCAAGUGAUCCGGAAAAAAAGAAUUAUGGAUUUCUAAUAUAGGCAGAACUAAUUGGGAACCAAAAAUUAAUUCAGCUGUAUGUGAGAAACAUUUUGCAAGUGAAAUGUGGGAAAAAAUACGAGUUGACGGAAA